AUCAACUUUCGAUGGUAGGAUAGAGGCCUACCAUGGUGGUAACGGGUAACGGGGUGUUAGGGCACGACACCGGAGAGGGAGCCUGAGAAACGGCUACCACAUCCAAGGAUGGCAGCAGGCGCGCAAAUUACCCAAUCCCGACACGGGGAGGUAGUGACAAUAAAUAACAAUACGGGGUUCUUUCGGAUUUCGUAAUUGGAAUGAGUACAAUUUAAAUCUCUUAACGAGGAACAAUUGGAGGGCAAGUCUGGUGCCAGCAGCCGCGGUAAUUCCAGCUCCAAUAGCGUAUAUUAAAGUUGUUGCAGUUAAAAAGCUCGUAGUUGAAUUUCGGGAUCAUCAGGUUGGUCGUGCCUUCGGUAUGUACUUGCUUCGGUGGUCCCUCCUUCUUGAAGAACCGUAAUGACAUUAAUUUGUUGUUGCGGGGAAACAGGACUGUUACUUUGAAAAAAUUAGAGUGUUUAAAGCAGGCAAUCGCUUGAAUACAUUAGCAUGGAAUAAUGAAAUAGGACGUUCGAUCCUAUUUUGUUGGUUUCUAGGAUUGACGUAAUGAUUAAUAGGGAUAGUUGGGGGCAUUAGUAUUCAAUUGUCAGAGGUGAAAUUCUUGGAUUUAUUGAAGACUAACUACUGCGAAAGCAUUUGCCAAGGAUGUUUUCAUUAAUCAAGAACGAAAGUUAGGGGAUCGAAGACGAUCAGAUACCGUCGUAGUCUUAACCAUAAACUAUGCCGACUAGGGAUCGGAUGAUGUUAAUUUUUUAAUGACUCAUUCGGCGCCUUACGGGAAACCAAAGUGUUUGGGUUC
rnacentral:rRNA from 1 species